CGGGUGAGUAAUGUAUGGGGAUCUGCCUGAUGGCGGGGGAUAACUACUGGAAACGGUAGCUAAUACCGCAUAAUGUCUGCGGACCAAAGCGGGGGACCUCCGGGCCUCGCGCCAUCAGAUGAACCCAUAUGGGAUUAGCUUGUAGGUAAGGUAACGGCCUACCUAGGCGACGAUCCCUAGCUGGUCUGAGAGGAUGAUCAGCCACACUGGGACUGAGACACGGCCCAG
rnacentral:rRNA from 1 species